rnacentral:tRNA from 1 species
GCCGGGGUGCCCGAGUGGACCAAAGCCUCAAAGGCUGUCCAAAGGGGUUGGCCUGGAGAGCCAAUGCCCCUCUGGGGCUCCCGGGUUCGAAUCCCGGCCCCGGCG